rnacentral:rRNA from 1 species
AUUGAACGCUGGCGGCAGGCCUAACACAUGCAAGUCGAGCGAGCGGCGGACGGGUGAGUAAUGUAUGGGGAUCUGCCCGAUAGAGGGGGAUAACUACUGGAAACUGUAGCUAAUACCGCGUACCAUAGGAUGAACCCAUAUGGGAUUAGCUAGUAGGUGGGGUAAAGGCUCACCUAGGCGACGAUCUCUAGCUGGUCUGAGAGGAUGAUCAGCCACACUGGGACUGAGACACGGCCCAGACGCCUACGGGAGGCAGCAGUGGGGAAUAUUGCACAAGGGGCGCAAGCCUGAUGCAGCCAUGCCGCGUGUAUGAAGAAGGCCUUAGGGUUGUAAAGUACUUUCAGCGGGGAGGCGUUACCCGCAGAAGAAGCACCGGCUAACUCCGUGCCAGCAGCCGCGGUAAUUC